AGUAAUGUAUGGGGAUCUGCCCGAUAGAGGGGGAUAACUACUGGAAACGGUGGCUAAUACCGCAUAAUGUCCACGGACCAAAGCAGGGGCUCUUCGGACCUUGCACUAUCGGAUGAACCCAUAUGGGAUUAGCUAGUAGGUGGGGUAAAGGCUCACCUAGGCGACGAUCUCUAGCUGGUCUGAGAGGACGAUCAGCCACACUGGGACUGAGACACGGCCCAG
rnacentral:rRNA from 1 species